rnacentral:lncRNA from 1 species
AAGUACACGGAAUUCCAGACACGGAAGCACCUGAAUUAAGACUCUCCCCUGCGUGGAAGCCAUACCCAGGCCAGGGCUCCAUCUCUCCUCUCUCUCCUUGCCAGUCAUUAGUCUUCUUCCCUCUGUCUUUGUGGCCAAUGUUCUGACAGAUCCAUGACUAGCUUUGAUGCCCAGUCUCACCUGCUCUCUGACUAAAUGCACAAGAGGAAGGAGGGCUGAAGGCCAUUCAGACACCUAUUUCCAUCUUCACAGCUCGGCCCCCCUGUGCCUUUCUUCUUCUGGCUUCUGUAAAAUGUAAUUUCUGGGAGUUCCCAUCGUGGCUCAGUGGUUAAUGAAUCCGACUAGGAACCAUGAGGUUGCGGGUUCGAUCCCUGGCCUCGCUCAGUGGAUUAAGGAUCCAGCAUUGCCGUGAGCCACGGUGUAGGUAGACAAAGCUCAGAUUUGGCGUUGCUGUGGCUCUGGUGUAGGCUGGCAGCUACAGUUCUGAUUCGAUCCCUAGCCUGGGAACCUCCAUAUGCCGCGGGUGCAGCCCUAAAAAGAAAAAAAAAAAAAAAAAAAAGGUAAUUUCCCACCUAGGUAAUGACCACGGGCUUACAAAGUUUCCAGUUCAACCACAGUCAGAGUCAGAAGCUAGAACACUGAGGACCCAAGAUACGCUGAAACUCAAAGCCCAUAGCAAAAAUGUUUAAGCAAGAACUGAGGCAUGUGUCAUACAGCCUUUCCAGCUUAAGAACCUAUAAAAUUGGGCUGGGAGUGGGGGUGGUAAAUACUAGCAUGGACCUCUCUCCUCUUUAGCAUCUGGCUCUGAACCUCAGGAAACAUUCUGAGGACAAGAAAAAGUCUGAAAAUGAACAGAAAACUUGAAAUAAAGAGAUUAAGAAUCAAAGACCUAGAGAUCAAAAAGCAAAUCAAAGAAGUCUUCAAAGUCCAACUUUGAAGAUCAGUGAUUCUUAAACUGUGUUCUACAGAGGCACUUUCAAGGACUAAGUGGGCAGGUCUCCAGACCCUAGAACUCCACUUAAGCAGAGCACAACAUUUUUAUCUCUUUUACAUACUAGACCUCCAUGUCAGACUUCAACUUGAAGGACGGGUUCCACAGCUUGGAAAAAACAAGCUGAAGAAACCUUAUUUUGUACUGCAUCCAUUCAUGCAUUCAUCCAUUCAGCAAAUAUUUAUAGAGCAUCGCUGUGACAAGCACUGUGCUAAGGGAUGGAGAUACAAAAAUAAGUAAGACAUGGUUGCUGUCCUCAAGGGGUUCCUGGUAGAGACAGGGAGACAGACAAAUGAUGCAAAACUCAGAGCAGAGUGUGAUCGGGUGCGACCAUGGGGAAGAACAGAAAGCCCGGAGAUUCCAUAAAACAGAUGCUUCGACACCUGGAAAUAGGCUUUGAAACUCUGCUUAAAUAUACCCAGUAAUGGGAAAUUCUACAAGGUAGCCAAUUCUCUUUUAAACACUUGUACUUAUUAGCAAUUUUCCUUUCUAGGGUUGAAAUCUAUGUUCUCGUGGCUUCAAUCCUUCGGCUCUAGUUCUGCCUCUAAGUCUACCUGGACUGGGUUCCAUUAACCUUUUCCACAAGACUGGUUUUGAAGAUUUGGGUUCUGUCAUCACUCCCUUCCCUGGACUUUCUACUCCCUAAGUACAUAGUCUCUAUAUUUGUACCAAUUAUAUUACGUUUCAUGUAACCAAGACGAAAGAGAGAAUUUGGUGAGAAGAGGGACUUGAAGAAAUGGUGCCUAAUAUGUGAGAACUUUGUUUUAUUUGGGAUAAUUGUAAGAAUGGUCAUAGUGCUAUCAUGGAAUCAAGAAAACAGUAUGCAAAUGAAAUUAGACAUAAUAAAGUACACGACUACAGAGCUUUAAAGCUCGUAUUUCUUCACUAUUAACAUUCGAAACUAAUGGUAAUCCGUAGAGGGUGACAAAAAAUAUAUAAGAAACAUACAUAAAAAUGAUUUACUGAUGCUAAGCUACAACACAUGAUAUGUUCAAUGUGUUGUCCAUCAUUAAAAUGCAUAGUUCAGGAGUUCCCUUGGUGGCUCAGUGGUUAAUGAAUCCGACUAGGAACCAUGAGCUGCAGGUUUGAUCCCUGGCCUCGCUCAGUGGGUUAAGGAUCCGGCGUUGCUGUGAGCUGUGGUAUAGGUCGCAGACACAGCUUGGAUCCCGCGUUGCUGUGGCUCUAGCAUAGGCCAGUGGCUACAGCUCCGAUUGGACCCCUAGUCUGGGAACCUCCAUAUGCCGUGGGUGCAGCCCUAGAAAAGACCAAAAAUAAAUAAAUAAAUAAAUAAAUUUUAAAAAUUAAAUAAAAUAAAAUGCAUAGUUCGACAUUCCAUUUAAAACUAGAAUGGGAGUUCCUGUCGUGGCGCAGUGGUUAACGAAUAUGACUAGGAACCGUGAGGUUGCAGGUUCGAUCCCUGCCCUCGCUCAGUGGGUUAAGGAUCUGGCGUUGCCGUGAGCUGUGGUGUAGGUCGCAGAUGCGGCUCAGAUCCUACGUUGCUGUGGUUCUGGUGUAGGCCAGCGGCUGCAGCUCCAAUUAGACCCCUAGCCUGGGAACCUCCAUAUGCCGCGGGAGCGGCCCUAGAAAAGGCAAAAAGACAAAAAAAAAAACAACAAACUAGAAUGGACAGUUUCCAUCAAUGCCUGCAUAAGCAUCUGAGAUAUGCUGCCUGAGAGAACUAUGUCUCUGAUUUCCACUGACUGAACUUACACCAAGAAGUAAUUAGAGAAGAUCUAUAAAAAACAAUAAAGUAACAUUACCUAUGUUUGUAGAUUUCAUGGCCAGCAUCUAUUUUUCAUUAAAAUUUUACUGUUUAAUUUUUAAUUACUUUUUAAUUAUUGAAAACUUAAAAAAAAUCUUCAUGCCUAAGAAAAAAUUCUAAACUGUUCUAUACGUAUAAUUUUUAAAAGCACCUCAGUAUUCCUUUCUUAAACCACAAUUUCCAUGCAUGGGAAAUUUUGCUAUCUCAUUAAUUAAGAAGCUUUGAAGGCUGGUAUGAAAUCUAACACUCAUAUAAUUUUACUUCUAUUUUAAAAAAUCUAUCAGUUAAAAUGGUUUGAAGAUAAAUUUUCUGAACACAGGCUUUGCAUAAGAAGUAUAUUUCACUAUUAACAUAAAAUGUAAGUACCACCUGCCUCCAAGGGAAUUGAAGUAGUAAUGUAAGCCUGUUCAAAAAUUUAAAAGCAUGUGCAGAUAUUAUUAUGGUGUGUAUUAAAUUUUACUUUGAUCUUUCUGGCAGCCUAGGCAAAAAGAAAAACAUGAAAGAAUAUUUAAUUAUACUUGAUGCAUCUGAUAAGAUAAAAUAUUCAGGGUGGUUUUUUAAGGAAAAAAUAAACAUUUUUACUACUAAAUUCCAAGCAAAGUUCAUCAAGAGGCACUAAUCCAAGGGGAUUUAAACAAGAAACAUUUAGCAAUACCAUGUCUUCAACAAAAAUAUGCAAUAAAAGGAUGGAAAACAAUCCUAAUAAUGUUAUAUAUGACAUAAAUCUUCUAUAAAACUUGAGGGCACUGUAUUAAUGUCAUUUAGUGAGGGUGUUUUCGUGGAGAAUUAUACUGAAGAAGUUCAGAAAUGUAGCUCUUUUCUGAACUGUGAUCAUGAACUCCUGGGUGGAAUCUGGUAAUUUGCAUUAACAUAAAAAGAUGACUAUUAUUUUUCUUUAUUUCUCUUCUUUCCCUGCAACUGUUCCAGGAUAUAGAGAGAAGUUACCUCAACUUUAAACUCUAAGGGAAAAACUUGUAGUGCAGGAACCUGGGGUUCAUGCCUGAGGAAAGAACUUACGAUGCCAAAUAUGAGAGUGCGAAGCUAACAUUUUCCAUUACAGAAGCAGAAGAACCAUCUACAAUCCCUGCCUGGGUAAAGGGUCACCUCGCCUCCACACAAGUCAGCCGCAGCUGCUUCUAGGGCCUGAAAUGGCAUCAGGAUGCAGCUUUGGAUCUGCUCAAGUACCUGAAAAGGGUGCCUGUUUUAAACUUCAAAAUACUGCAUCAAAGAAACUAUUUCUCCCAGUAUUUUUUUUACUCUAAGACUUCUCAAGAGUUUCUGUCAUGGCUCAGCGGUAAUGAAUCCGACUAGUAUCCAUGAGGAUGCAGGUUCAAUCCCUGGCCUUGUUCAGUGGGUUAAGGAUCCAACAUUGCCAUGAGUUGUGGUGUAGGUCCCAGACACUGCUAGAAUCUGGUGUGGCUAUGGCUGUGGUUGGCAGCUGUAGUUCUGAUUCGACUUCUAGCCUGGAAACUUCCAUAUGCUUAGGGUGUGGCCCUAAACAAACAAACAAACAAACAAACAAAAGGACUGCUCAGAGCUUGCAACUAGCUGACAUGUAAUGUGGACUUUCCAAAACGGACCCAGAAUGGGCAGUAAACUUAUCUGAUCACAGUGCACUCAUUUCUUGGAGCAUCUUGCAAGACUAGCAUCUCAUGGAACAUAUCUUGGAAAAUACCACCAGAGAUGUCAUAAGCCUAAAUAUUUUAGGAACGGGUAUUACCACCUUAAACCAAAAAAAAGAAAAACCAGAGUUCCCAUCAUGGCUCAGUGGUUAACAAAUCCGACUAGGAACCAUGAGGUUGCAGGUUCGAUCCCUGGCCUCGCUCAGUGGGUUAGGGAUCUGGCGUUGCCGUGAGCUGUGGAGUAGGUCACAGACGAGGCUCAGAUCUGGCAUUGCUGUGGCUGUGGCGUAGGCUGGCGGCUACAGCUCCGAUUAGAUCCCCUAGCCUGGGAACCUCCAUAUGCCACUAGUGCGGCCCUAGAAAGACAAACGGACCAAAAAAAAAAAAAAAAAAAAA